rnacentral:rRNA from 1 species
CAAUAGCGUAUAUUAAAGUUGUUGCAGUUAAAAAGCUCGUAGUUGGAUUUGUGGGCGGAGCGGUCUGUCCGGCACUCUGUGCGGGUACUUGACCGUCUCUGCUCAUCCUUGGGUGGAACCUGUGUGGCAUUAGGUUGUCGUGCAGGGGAUUCCCAUCGUUUACUGUCAAUAAAUUAGAGUGUUCAAAGCAGGCUUACGCCGAUGAAUAUGCUAGCAUGGAAUAAUAAGAUAGGGCUUUUGUGCUAUUUUGUUGGUUUGCGCACUGAAGUAAUGAUUAAUAGGGACAGUUGGGGGUAUUCGUAUUGCAUUGUCAGAGGUGAAAUUCUUGGAUUUUUGCAAGACGAACGACUGCGAAAGCAUUUACCAAGGAUGUUUNCAUUAA